rnacentral:lncRNA from 1 species
AAAAUGUGUCUGGAAUUGGUGGGUUCUUGGUCUUACUGACUUUAAGAAUGAAGUUGCGGACUUUUGCGAUGCCAAUAUUUUACCUCUUGGGUACUUUCUGUGUAGAAGAUUCAUAACAAGAACAAUACUUAUUCUGCAAUUCUUUAUAUAAAGCUCCAGAGGGAAGUGAGAAGGAUGUUCACUUGCUGGUGAGAGAAGGAGCUGGUUCCAUCCAUUACGCAGUCCCCUGGGAGCGCUAAAUGCAACUUUAUCUCAACGGGGAGUGGACGAUGAGCAGGACGUCGCUAGAGGGAAAGAGCACAAAGGAAGUAGACCAAGGAGACUGAAGGUGGUUAUGAAGACUGUGCAUCUCUGAGGACAUCUUAAACAAAGAUGACCCAAAUCUUUGAUCUUCAAAUAGUCGAUGUGAACUGCUUAACAAAAUGCCCUGGGAAAACUCUGUCUGAAACAAGCAGCUUGGGGGUUUGAUUUCAUUAGUUACUGGACAAGAACUGGAAUGGAGUGAAAAAUCUUCAUUCAUUUCUUGGUCAGAUGGAGAGAGGAGAAAAAAAGAAGUGGGUUUCCAUUCACUUCCAUUUUCUAACU